rnacentral:rRNA from 1 species
AGAUUGAACGCUGGCGGCAUGCCUUACACGUGCAAGUCGAACGGCAGCACGGGAGCAAUCCUGGUGGCGAGUGGCGAACGGGUGAGUAAUAUAUCGGAACGUGCCCAGUCGUGGGGGGAUAACGCAGCGAAAGCUGUGCUAAUACCGCAUACGAUCUAUGGAUGAAAGCGGGGGAUCGCAAGACCUCGCGCGAUUGGAGCGGCCGAUAUCAGAUUAGCUAGUUGGUGGGGUAAAAGCCUACCAAGGCGACGAUCUGUAGCUGGUCUGAGAGGACGACCAGCCACACUGGAACUGAGACACGGUCCAGACUCCUACGGGAGGCAGCAGUGGGAAUUUGGACAAUGGGCGAAAGCCUGAUCCAGCAAUGCCGCGUGCAGGAAGAAGGCCUUGGUUGUAAGCACGUUAAGUUGGAGGUAAGGUUGUAACCUAAUACGUUGACUACUUUGACGUUACCGACAGAAUAAGCACCGCUAACUUCGUG